UCCCUGCUACACUGAAUCUCUGCUAGGGAUAUGAGUAAUGAAUAAAUCCAAGUUCCUGUUUUCGAGAAGCUUGCAAACUUUUCAUGAGGACAGGAAAAGAGCCACAAUAAAAGAAGAAGCUUCCGCCUUAAGAGUUCCGCACCCAUGGCACUGAGGAGUUUGGCAGACGUUGUCAGGAGAGAAAACAUUGUAUGCUCCUUCUGUAAGGACAUCCAAGAAAAAGGAAAGCCCAGGAAUUGGAAGGGGACCUAGUAUGUAAGAAUCAAUGGCUGGCCUGUGAAGAUGAGACAGAGGAAGUCGUCACUGGCAGGAGGACCAAUAUCCAAAAUGGCAGGAGUGGCGUCCAAAAAGGUGCCAAAGUCAAGAGA